GAUGAACGCUGGCGGCGUGCCUAACACAUGCAAGUCGAGCGAACCCUUCGGGGUGAGCGGCGGACGGGUGAGUAACGCGUGGGUAACCUGCCCUAUACACACGGAUAACGUACCGAAAGGUACGCUAAUACGGGAUAAAGUUGUUGGAUGGCAUCUUCUAACAAUCAAAGCUCCGGCGGUAUAGGAUGGACCCGCGUCUGAUUAGCUAGUUGGUGAGGUAAUGGCUCACCAAGGCGACGAUCAGUAGCCGACCUGAGAGGGUGAUCGGCCACACUGGAACUGAGACACGGUCCAGACUCCUACGGGAGGCAGCAGUGGGGAAUAUUGCACAAUGGGCGAAAGCCUGAUGCAGCAACGCCGCGUGAGCAAUGAAGGUCUUCGGAUCGUAAAGCUCUGUCCUCAAGGAAGAUAAUGACGGUACUUGAGGAGGAAGCCCCGGCUAACUACGUGCCAGCAGCCGCCGCAG
rnacentral:rRNA from 1 species